rnacentral:rRNA from 1 species
GAUGAACGCUGGCGGCGUGCCUAAUACAUGCAAGUCGAGCGAACAGACGAGGAGCUUGCUCCUCUGACGUUAGCGGCGGACGGGUGAGUAACGCGUGGAUAACCUACCUAUAUGACUGGGAUAACUACGGGAAACCGGAGCUAAUCCCGGAUAACAUGCUGCACCGCAUGGGGCAACAGUGAAAGACGGUCUUGCUGGCACUUAUCGAUGGUUCCGGGCCGGAUUAGCUAGUUGGUAAGGUCACGGCCUACCAAGGCAACGAUGCGUAGCCGACCUGAGAGGGUGAUCGGCCACACUGGAACUGAGACACGGUCCAGACUCCUACGGGAGGCCGCAGUCGGGAAUCGGCGGCAAUGGGCGAAAGCCUGACGGAGCAACGCGGCGUGAGUGAAGAAGGUCUUCGGAUCGUAAAGCUCUGUUAUGGGGGAAGAACAAAUGUGUAAGUAAAUAUGCACGUCUUGACGGUACCUAAUCAGAAAGCAACGGCUAACUACGUG